GCGGUGGUGGCGGCAGCUGGAGCCCAACGGGCUGCGCCUUCUUCGCCGUGGGCCCGGCUCGGAGCCCCCACCCCAGGCCUCACCGGCCCAGCGCGAGGCUGCCUCACCGGAAACACGAGGCCGAAUUCCAAGCUAUUGUCCUGCUUCGCCGGGGGUCGCGCACUCCAAGCGGCAGCCCACUGGAGUCCCAGUCGCCACGACAGGCGGCAGCCAGACUCAGCCUGCCUGCACCCAGGUGAAAUAAACAGCCAUGUUGCUCACACAAAGCCUGUUUGGUGGUCUCUUCCCACGGACGCGCGAGACAAUGAGGAGAGAUGGGUUGCCCAGGCUGGCCUCAAGUGAUCCUCCCGCCUUGGUCUCCCAAAGCACAGAGAUUACAGGUGUUUGCUUCAGAAUGUAUACAGAAGAUGAAGCUAGGAAAAUAGGAGUGGUUGGCUGGGUGAAGAAUACCAGCAAAGGCACCGUGACAGGCCAAGUGCAGGGGCCAGAAGACAAAGUCAAUUCCAUGAAGUCCUGGCUGAGCAAGGUUGGAAGCCCUAGUUCUCGCAUUGACCGCACAAACUUUUCUAAUGAAAAAACCAUCUCUAAGCUUGAAUACUCUAAUUUUAGUAUUAGAUACUAAUAGAAGAGAAAAAUUGUAACACACUGAACAAUAGAUACUGUAUGUUCUUAAGACUAUGUAUACUAGAAUAAUAGUAGCAGAGUAGGGUGAAAAGGAACUUUCUGUUCUGAAAGCUAAGCGACUGUACGUGCUACUAAAAAUGUCUGACACUGAAAUAAUUUUACUCAACUAUGUUUUCAACAAGCAAAAAUAUAGUAUUCUAAGAUUAAAAUGUCAUUACAAAAUAUUUAGUGUGAACAUUUAAUUUAAACUUGUCUCAUGGAAUCUUUAAUUUCAAUGAACAUUACAGCAUAUAUAUGUUAUUUGGCGAGACAUCAAAUAAAGUUAACC
rnacentral:lncRNA from 1 species